rnacentral:rRNA from 1 species
UACGUAGGGGGCAAGCGUUGUCCGGAUUUAUUGGGCGUAAAGAGCGUGUAGGCGGCCAGACAGGUCCGUUGUGAAAACUAGAGGCUUAACCUCUAGACGUCGAUGGAAACCGUCUGGCUAGAGUCCGGAAGAGGAGAAUGGAAUUCCUGAUGUAGCGGUGAAAUGCGCAGAUAUCAGGAAGAACACCCGUGGCUAAGGCGGUUCUCUAGUACGGUACUGACGCUGAGACGCGAAAGCGUGGGGAGCGAACAGG